UACAGAGGGUGCUAGCGUUGCUCGGAAUCACUGGGCGUAAAGGGUGCGUAGGCGGGUCUUUAAGUCAGGGGUGAAAUCCUGGAGCUCAACUCCAGAACUGCCCUUGAUACUGAGGAUCUUGAGUUCGGGAGAGGUGAGUGGAACUGCGAGUGUAGAGGUGAAAUUCGUAGAUAUUCGCAAGAACACCAGUGGCGAAGGCGGCUCACUGGCCCGAUACUGACGCUGAGGCACGAAAGCGUGGGGAGCAAACAGG
rnacentral:rRNA from 1 species